rnacentral:misc_RNA from 1 species
GAUGAAGAACGCAGCGAAAUGCGAUACGUAAUGUGAAUUGCAGAAUUCAGUGAAUCAUCGAAUCUUUGAACGCACAUUGCGCCCCUUGGUAUUCCGAGGGGCAUGCCUGUUCGAGCGUCAUUAUAACCCCUCAAGCUCAGCUUGGUGUUGGGGCCUGGCACUGGCAGCCCUUAAAAUCAGUGGCGGCGCCAUCUGGCUCUAAGCGUAGUAAUUCUUCUCGCUAUGGAGUCCUGGUGGAUGCUUGCCAUCAACCCCCAAUUUUUCUAUGGUUGACCUCGGAUCAGGUAGGGAUACCCGCUGAACUUAAGCAUAUCAAUAAGCGGAGGA